rnacentral:rRNA from 1 species
UACGUAGGGGGCAAGCGUUGUCCGGAUUUAUUGGGCGUAAAGAGCGUGUAGGCGGUCCGGUAAGUCCGCUGUGAAAGUCGGGGGCUCAACCCUCGAAUGCCGGUGGAUACUGUCGGGCUAGAGUACGGAAGAGGCGAGUGGAAUUCCUGGUGUAGCGGUGAAAUGCGCAGAUAUCAGGAGGAACACCUAUUGCGAAGGCAGCUCGCUGGGACGUAACUGACGCUGAGACGCGAAAGCGUGGGGAGCAAACAGG